CACUGGAUGGAGGGGGGCUCUAACGCCGGAGGCCGACUCCUCUGAAUGGACCUACCUGUGGGCCUGCAGGCGAAAGCCGACACGCUAAUAUGCUGCUGCAGUUGUUCGGAGCGGCGGCGAGGCGAUGAGAGCCGGUAGGUAAAACUUCCUGUUCCGACGGCUCAGGACAACGAGCUCCUCGUGUGUCAAAUGUUCAGACAUCCUGACAAAUACGGAGGCCGGACUCACCGGCACCGGAGGACAUGUUGUCACCGGAUGGAUUCUCUGUGAGGAAUUCUGCUGAAGCCUCCGACUCAUCUCACUGAAAGAAAAAGAAAACCUGCAAAGUACACAAGUGUUCUUGUUGAAGGAUCUCUAGAAGGAUUUUGUUGGAGAGGAAAUCGAACACAACCACCGAAAGCUUUCGCUCUGAUGAAUGACCUGAUGCUCUUCCUUAAGUUAGAAAAGAUAAAAUAUUACGUUAGAGGGUCA